GUCGACGAUGAAGCCUUUCGGGGUGGAUUAGUGGCGAACGGGUGAGUAACACGUGGGCAAUCUGCCCUUCACUCUGGGACAAGCCCUGGAAACGGGGUCUAAUACCGGAUAACACUCCUGCCUGCAUGGGUGGGGGUUAAAAGCUCCGGCGGUGAAGGAUGAGCCCGCGGCCUAUCAGCUUGUUGGUGAGGUAGUGGCUCACCAAGGCGACGACGGGUAGCCGGCCUGAGAGGGCGACCGGCCACACUGGGACUGAGACACGGCCCAGACUCCUACGGGAGGCAGCAGUGGGGAAUAUUGCACAAUGGGCGAAAGCCUGAUGCAGCGACGCCGCGUGAGGGAUGACGGCCUUCGGGUUGUAAACCUCUUUCAGCAGGGAAGAAGCGAAAGUGACGGUACCUGCAGAAGAAGCGCCGGCUAACUACGUGCCAGCAGCCGCGGUAAUACGUAGGGCGCAAGCGUUGUCCGGAAUUAUUGGGCGUAAAGAGCUCGUAGGCGGCUUGUCACGUCGGUUGUGAAAGCCCGGGGCUUAACCCCGGGUCUGCAGUCGAUACGGGCAGGCUAGAGUGUGGUAGGGGAGAUCGGAAUUCCUGGUGUAGCGGUGAAAUGCGCAGAUAUCAGGAGGAACACAGGUGGCGAAGGCGGAUCUCUGGGGCAUUACUGA
rnacentral:rRNA from 1 species